AGUGAACGCUGGCGGUAGGCCUAACACAUGCAAGUCGAACGGCAGCACAGUAAGAGCUUGCUCUUACGGGUGGCGAGUGGCGGACGGGUGAGGAAUACAUCGGAAUCUACUUUUUCGUGGGGGAUAACGUAGGGAAACUUACGCUAAUACCGCAUACGACCUACGGGUGAAAGCAGGGGAUCUUCGGACCUUGCGCGAUUGAAUGAGCCGAUGUCGGAUUAGCUAGUUGGCGGGGUAAAGGCCCACCAAGGCGACGAUCCGUAGCUGGUCUGAGAGGAUGAUCAGCCACACUGGAACUGAGACACGGUCCAGACUCCUACGGGAGGCAGCAGUGGGGAAUAUUGGACAAUGGGCGCAAGCCUGGUCCAGCCAUACCGCGUGGGUGAAGAAGGCCUUCAGGUUGUAAAGCCCUUUUGUUGGGAAAGAAAAGCAGCAGGUUAAUACCCCGCUGUUCUGACGGUACCCAAAGAAUAAGCACCGGCUAACUUCGUG
rnacentral:rRNA from 1 species